CCUACGGGAGGCAGCAGUGGGGAAUAUUGGGCAAUGGAGGAAACCCUGACCCAGCAACGCCGCGUGAAUGAUGAAGGUCUUCGGAUUGUAAAGUUCUUUUCUAAGGGAAGAAGAAAGUGACGGUCCUCUAGGAAUAAGCCUCGGCUAAUUACGUGCCAGCAGCCGCGGUAUUACGUAGGAGGCAAGCGUUAUCCGGAAUGACUGGGGGUAAAGGGUGCGUAGGCGGUUUGACAAGUUGGUAGCGUAACUCCGGGGCUCAACCCCGGCACUACUACCAAAACUGUCGGACUUGAGUGCAGGAGGGGCAAACGGAAUUCCUAGUGUAGCGGUGAAAUGCGUAGAUAUUAGGAGGAACACCAGUGGCGAAGGCGGUUUGCUGGACUGUAACUGACGCUGAGGCACGAAAGCGUGGGGAGCAAACAGGAUUAGAUACCCCAGUAGUC
rnacentral:rRNA from 1 species